GAGUUUGAACCUGGCUCAGGACGAACGCUGGCGGCAUGCCUAACACAUGCAAGUCGAACGGAGUUAUUAUUCAGAAGUUCUUCGGGAUGGAAGGAUAAGAACUUAGUGGCGGACGGGUGAGUAACGCGUGGGUGACCUGCCCUUUUGUGGGGAACAACUUCGAGAAAUCGGAGCUAAUACCGCAUAAUAAUAGAGGAUCGCAUGAUUCUUUAAGGAAAGAUGGCCUCUGAAGAUGCUAUCGCAAAAGGAUGGACCCGCGUCUGAUUAGCUAGUUGGAAGGGUAACGGCCUACCAAGGCAACGAUCAGUAGCCGGCCUGAGAGGGUGAACGGCCACAUUGGGACUGAGACACGGCCCAAACUCCUACGGGAGGCAGCAGUGGGGAAUCUUCCGCAAUGGGCGAAAGCCUGACGGAGCAAUGCCGCGUGAGUGAAGAAGGCCUUCGGGUUGUAAAACUCUGUCCUUAUCGAAGAGAGGUAGGUAUGUGAAUAAUGUACCUAUAGGACGGUAGAUAAGGAGGAAGCCCCGGCUAACUACGUGCCAGCAGCCGCGGUAAUACGUAGGGGGCGAGCGUUGUCCGGAAUCACUGGGCGUAAAGGGCGCGUAGGCGGUUUAAUAAGUCAGUGGUGAAAACUGAGGGCUCAACCCUCAGCCUGCCACUGAUACUGUUAGACUUGAGUAUGGAAGAGGAGAAUGGAAUUCCUAGUGUAGCGGUGAAAUGCGUAGAUAUUAGGAG
rnacentral:rRNA from 1 species